AUCUCUUUGGAGACAUCCAAUAAAAUCCGAACAAACAAGAGAGGAUUAGCAAGGCCCCUACACAAGGAUGACAUGCACAAAUCAAGAAAAGGUUUAUAUGUUG